AGCGAACGCUGGCGGCAUGCUUAACACAUGCAAGUCGCACGGCUGGGGUAACUCAGCAGUGGCGGACGGGUGAGUAACGCGUGGGGAUCUGUCUCCGGGUGGGGGAUAACCGUGGGAAACUACGGCUAAUACCGCAUGAUGCCCGAGGGCCAAAGGUGUAAAUCGCCUGGAGAGGAACCCGCGUACGAUUAGCUUGUUGGCGGGGUAAAGGCCCACCAAGGCGACGAUCGUUAGCUGGUCUGAGAGGAUGAUCAGCCACACUGGGACUGA
rnacentral:rRNA from 1 species